rnacentral:rRNA from 1 species
UACGUAGGGUGCGAGCGUUAAUCGGAAUUACUGGGCGUAAAGCGUGCGCGGGCGGUUGUGCAAGACAGAUGUGAAAUCCCCGGGCUUAACCUGGGAAUUGCGCUUGAAACUAGCGGGCUUGAGUGUGGCAGAGGGGGGGUGGAAUUCCACGUGUAGCAGUGAAAUGCGUAGAGAUGUGGAGGAACACCGAUGGCGAAGGCAGCCCCCUGGGUCAAGAUUGACGCUCAUGCACGAAAGCGUGGGGAGCAAACAGG